rnacentral:rRNA from 1 species
UACGUAGGGUGCAAGCGUUGUCCGGAAUUAUUGGGCGUAAAGAGCUCGUAGGCGGUGUGUCGCGUCGGCCGUGAAACCUGCAGCUUAACUGUGGCGUGCGGUCGAUACGGGCAUCACUGGAGUUCGGCAGGGAGACUGGAAUUCCUGGUGUAGCGGUGAAAUGCGCAGAUAUCAGGAGGAACACCGGUGGCGAAGGCGGGUCUCUGGGCCGAUGACUGACGCUGGAGGAGCGAAAGCGUGGGAGCGAACAGG